GAAGUUUGGCCGUGAGGUCAAGUGGACCGUGCUCGUAUAUGGAUGCUGGUAGGAGUAGCAGCAAAGAUUGGUGAGAAUCCAAUCCGCCGCAGGGGCCAGGGUUCCUCGGCAAUGUUCGUCAGCCGAGGGUUAGCCGAUCCUAAGACAACUCUUAAUCGAAGUUGCCAAAUGGGAAACAGGUUAAUAUUCCUGUGCCGCAGUAGUCAUCGCCUAGCAGCUACGCAUCCGGAUAGCUCGAGCAGGGGUGUCAAUCUGUUCAAGCGUUGAAGCCUUCGGAGAACCGUAAUGGUGAGAAGUUGGUGAAUGCGUGAGUAGGCGGGCGUAGGCCCGCUUCGAGUGAUUCCAGGUGCCAAUGAAAAGGCAGCUAGUUUAAGCUAUUGUGAUCGUACCUAGAACUGACACAGGUGCCCCUAGGUGAGAAGCCUAAGGCGUGUCGGCAUAAUCCGUGCGAGGGAAUUCGGCAAAUUAGCCCCGUACCUUUGGUAUAAGGGGUGCCAGCAAUGAGAAUUGCUGGUCUCAGUAACAAGGGAGCUCCGACUGUUUAAUAAAAACACAGGUCACAGCUAGUUCGAAAGGAUUUGUAUUGUGGCUGAAGCCUGCCCAGUGACGGUAUCUGAACCUCUGUUUCAACGGAGCGAAGGACCGUUAAACGGCGGGGGUAACUAUGACCCUCUUAAGGUAGCGUAAUACCUUGUCGCUUAAUUGGCGACUUGCAUGAAGGCACAACGAGAGCUCUACUGUCCCCGCAUGGAAGCCGGUGAAACUGAUAGUACCGGCGCACAAUCCGGUAUCUUCCACCUGAAAGCGAAGACCCCAUGGAGCUUUACUGCAACCUGUUGUUGUGGUACGAGCCUCGAUGUGUAGAGUAGGCAGGACUCGUUACCAGGGCAUGCCGCUAGGCAUGUUCCGAGAGAUCAAUGAAACACUGCCCUUCGGGACUCGUAUCACUUACUCCUCUGGGAGGACAGCUAUAGGUAGGCAGUUUGGGUGGGGCGCCACGCGCUCAAAAAGAUAACAAGCGCGCCCAAUGGUCAGCUCAGGCAGGUCAGAAAUCUGCCGUUGAAUGCAAGGGUAUAAGCUGGCUUGACGCGGGUUGGGACAAUAACAAUCCGCGAUACGAAAGUAGGGCCUAGCGAACCAAUCAACCUUCUGAAUGGGGGUGAUUGAUAACAGAAAAGUUACCCUGGGGAUAACUGAGUCGUCGCUAGCAAGAGUUCAUAUCGACCUAGCGGUUUGCUACUUCGCUGUCGGCUCUCCCUAUCCUGGCGGUGCAGCAGCUGCCAAGGGUGGGGUUGUUCGCCCAUUAAAAGGGAUCGUGAGCUGGGUUUAGACCGUCGUGAGACAGGUUUGUUGCUUUUUGGUGGAAGUGUAUUGAUGUCUGACGGGAAGGAUCCUUUAGUACGAGAGGAACAGGGAUUCGUCGCCUCUAGUUCAUCAGUUGUCUGGCAAGGCACUGCUGAGCAGCCACGCGAUAAUGGAUAAGAGCUGAACGCAUCUAAGCUCGAAACUACCCCGGAAAAGAGACAUCUUAGAACACCCGUAGAUGACGGGAUUGAUAGGACAGGGGUGUACGUACCAAGGUUCUCCGAGGUACUCAGCCCGCUGUUACUAACGUUCUCGCCGCUAUG
rnacentral:rRNA from 1 species